rnacentral:rRNA from 1 species
CCUACGGGGGGCAGCAGUGAGGAAUAUUGGUCAAUGGGCGAGAGCCUGAACCAGCCAAGUCGCGUGAGGGAGUACUGCCCUAUGGGUUGUAAACCUCUUUUGUCGGGGAGCAAAAGCCGGACGUGUCCGGCUGUGAGAGUUCCCGAAGAACAAGCAUCGGCUAACUCCGUGCCAGCAGCCGCGGUAAUACGGAGGAUGCGAGCGUUAGCCGGAUUUAUUGGGGUUAAAGGGUGCGCAGGCGGAUUUUUAAGUCAGCGGUCAAAUCGUGGGGCUCAACCCCAUCCAGCCGUUGAAACUGGGGAUCUAGAGUGUGCGAGAGGUAUGCGGAAUGCGUGGUGUAGCGGUGAAAUGCAUAGAUAUCACGCAGAACCCCGAUUGCGAAGGCAGCAUACCGGUGCACAACUGACGCUCAGGCACGAAAGCGUGGGUAUCGAACAGGAUUAGAUACCCUUGUAGUC